rnacentral:rRNA from 1 species
UUCGGGGGCGCAGCCUGAUGCAGCCAUGCCGCGUGUGUGAAGAAGGCCUUCGGGUUGUAAAGCACUUUCAGCGAGGAGGAAGGCGUUGUAGUUAAUAGCUGCAGCGAUUGACGUUACUCGCAGAAGAAGCACCGGCUAACUCCGUGCCAGCAGCCGCGGUAA